rnacentral:rRNA from 1 species
UACGGAGGGGGUUAGCGUUGUUCGGAAUUACUGGGCGUAAAGCGCGCGUAGGCGGAUUAGUCAGUCAGAGGUGAAAUCCCAGGGCUCAACCCUGGAACUGCCUUUGAUACUGCUAGUCUUGAGUUCGAGAGAGGUGAGUGGAAUUCCAAGUGUAGAGGUGAAAUUCGUAGAUAUUCGGAGGAACACCAGUGGCGAAGGCGGCUCACUGGCUCGAUACUGACGCUGAGGUGCGAAAGUGUGGGGAGCAAACAGGAUUAGAUACCCUGGUAGUCCACACCGUAAACGCUGUCUACUAACUGUUUGUGGAUUUAAUCCGUGAGUAGUGAAGCUAACGCGAUAAGUAGACCGCCUGGGGAGUACGGUCGCAAGAUUAAAACUCAAAGAAAUUGACGGGGGCCUGCACAAGCGGUGGAGUAUGUGGCUUAAUUCGAUGCAACGCGAAGAACCUUACCUACUCUUGACAUACUUGGAAUUUUUCAGAGAUGAAUUAGUGCCUUCGGGAACCAAGAUACAGGUGCUGCAUGGCUGUCGUCAGCUCGUGUCGUG